rnacentral:tRNA from 1 species
GCCCAGGUGGUGGAAUUGGUAGACACGCCGUCUUGAGGGGGCGGUGGCCUAACGGCCGUGCGGGUUCAAGUCCCGCUCUGGGCACCA